rnacentral:rRNA from 1 species
AUUGGACGCUGGCGGCAUGCCUUACACAUGCAAGUCGAACGGCAGCACGGAGCUUGCUCUGGUGGCGAGUGGCGAACGGGUGAGUAAUAUAUCGGAACGUACCCAAGAGUGGGGGAUAACGUAGCGAAAGUUACGCUAAUACCGCAUACGAUCUAAGGAUGAAAGCAGGGGAUCGCAAGACCUUGUGCUCCUGGAGCGGCCGAUAUCUGAUUAGCUAGUUGGUGAGGUAAAGGCUCACCAAGGCAUCGAUCAGUAGCUGGUCUGAGAGGACGACCAGCCACACUGGAACUGAGACACGGUCCAGACUCCUACGGGAGGCAGCAGUGGGGAAUUUUGGACAAUGGGGGCAACCCUGAUCCAGCAAUGCCGCGUGAGUGAAGAAGGCCUUCGGGUUGUAAAGCUCUUUUGUCAGGGAAGAAACGAUCGUGGCUAAUAUCCAUGGCUAAUGACGGUACCUGAAGAAUAAGCACCGGCUAACUACGUGCCAGCCGCCGCAGUAA